UUUUUUUUUUCUCUUUUCUAGUGGCAUGUGUAUUCUUUUUCUAAACUCUUGAAUACUAAAUUUAGGUGUAUUAUUGCCUUUUAAAAUAUUUAUUUGAGAUGAGGUCUCACUGUGUUGCCCGGACUGGUCUCAAAAACUCCUGGGCGCAAGUGAUCCUUCCGCCUCAGCCUCCUGAGUAGCUAGAAUGACUUUUUCUUUUUCUCUUUUUGAGAUGGAGUCUUGCUCUGUCACCCAGCCUGGAGUGCAGUGGUGCGAUCUCGGCUCACUGCAACCUCCGCCUCCUGGAUUCAAGCAAUUCUCUGUCUCAGCCUCCCAAGUGGCUGGGAUUACAGGUACCUGCCACCACACCUGGCUAAUUUUUGUUUCUGUUUUUUUGAGAUGGAGUCUAGCUCUGUCGCCAGGCUGGAAUGCAGUGGCACGAUCUUGGCUCACUGCAACCUCUACCUCCUGGGUUCAAGCAAUUCGCCUGCCUCAGCCUCCCAAGUAGCUGGGAUUACAAGCAUGCGCUGCCACGCCCAGCUAAUUUUUGUAUUUUUAGUAGAGAUGGGGUUUCACCAUGUUGGCCAGGACGGUCUCAAUCUCCUGACCUCGUGAUCCACCCACCUCAGCCUCUCAAAGUGCUGGGAUUACAGGCGUGAGCCAUUGUGCCCGGCCCUAAUUUUUGCAUUUUUAUUAGAGACAGGGUUUCACCAUCUUGGCCAGGCUGUUCUUGAACUCCCACCUCGGCCUCCCAAAGUGCUGGGAUUACAGGCGUGAGCCACUGCGCCCAGCCCUGGGAUGACCUUUUCUUGACUGACUUGGUUGGAUUUGAUUUGUAGAGGUGCGGCUACACGAUUUUCUCCCAUUCAUUUUAUUUUAUUUAUUUUUGAGACGGAGUUUCACUCUUCUUGCCCAGGCCCGAGUGCAAUGGCAUGAUGUCGGCUCACUGCAACGUCCGCCUUUGGGUUCAAGCGAUUCUCCUACCCCAGCCUCCUGAGUAGCUGGGAUUACAGGCAUGUGCCACCAUGCCCAGCUAAUUUUGUAUUUUUAGUAGAGAUGGGGUUUCUCCAUGUUGGUCAGGCUGGUCUCGAACUUCCGACCUCACGUGAUCCGCCCGCCUCGGCCUCCCAAAGUGCUGAGAUUACAGGCAUGAGCCACUGUGCCCAGCCUUCCCCUUUUUUAUUGUGUUCUUAAUUUCUCCCUUGGCCUCGUUUUCAUUUCGAGGUCAGCAUGGCUUGGGAUGGGACAAGGUAACCUGAAAUGCUGCAGGUGGGCAAGAAUAUGUGUAGACACACACAGACACACACAGCCCACAUGCUCUGCUGCCCUGUAUCGCUAAGGCUGUGGCCAUGGCAUUGCCCCAUGGAGCAGCAAACAUGAAAAGCAAUCUGAUGGCCGGGCAUGGUGGCUCACAUCUGUAAUCCCGGCACUUUGGGAGGCCAAGACGGGCAGAGUGCCUGAGGUCAGGAGUUCGAGACCGACCUGGCCAAUAUAGUGAAACCCUGUCUCUAGUAAAAACACAAAAAUUAGCCGGCUGUGGUGGUGGGCACCUGUAAUACCAGCUACUCAGGAGGCUGAGGCAGGACAAUCGCUUGAACCUGGGAGAGGAAAGCUGCAGUGAGCCAAGAUCGCGCCACUGCACCCCAACCUGGGCGCCAGAGCGAGACUCCAUCUCAAAAAAAGCAAUCUGCCUACUGCUGGGUGGAAAACCUGCUGGAGUCAUCAGGACCUUUGAAAACAGGGAGCUAGUCCAAGCCACACACACAAAGGGUGAAGGGCGGGAAGUCACUCACAUCUCCUGGGCUCAGACCCAGGCCUGGGCGCUGAUAAUGGCAG
rnacentral:lncRNA from 10 species